UGAACUAAUUUAGUAAAUUGUUCUUUAUUUUUUCUCUAGUUUUAUUAAUUGGCAAGGAAAUGCCUUCAUGUUUUCUUUCGAUAAGUAGAUAAAAAACACAUAAAACAAUGGAUGCGUCUACAUAAAGAGAAGCGUGAGUCGUGUAAAUGAAAAGCAAGAAAAACCAUUGAAGAGGAGGCAUGAAUAAAAAGGUGAAACAAAUUUAUAAGUUAGAAUCAAGCCAUCACAUAAACAACAAGUGAAACAAAGAAACAUAGUUUGUGAAAAUUGCUGAGAUAACAUAUUAUUACACCUUAAUUUUGUC
rnacentral:lncRNA from 1 species